UACAGAGGUCUCAAGCGUUGUUCGGAUUCAUUGGGCGUAAAGGGUGCGUAGGUGGCGUCGUAAGUCAGGUGUGAAAUUUCGGAGCUUAACUCCGAAACUGCAUUUGAUACUGCGGUGCUUUGAGGACUGGAGAGGAGACUGGAAUUUACGGUGUAGCAGUGAAAUGCGUAGAGAUCGUAAGGGAAGACCAGUGGCGAAGGCGGGUCUCUGGACAGUUCCUG
rnacentral:rRNA from 1 species